rnacentral:rRNA from 1 species
CUACGGGCGGCAGCAGUGGGGAAUUUUGGACAAUGGGCGCAAGCCUGAUCCAGCCAUUCCGCGUGAGUGAAGAAGGCCUUCGGGUUGUAAAGCUCUUUCGCAAGGGAAGAAAACUUAUCCUCUAACAUAGGGUGAGGUUGACGGUACCUUGAUAAGAAGCACCGGCUAACUACGUGCCAGCAGCCGCGGUAAUACGUAGGGUGCGAGCGUUAAUCAGAAUUACUGGGCGUAAAGCGUGCGCAGGCUGUUUUGUAAGUCAGAUGUGAAAUCCCCGAGCUCAACCUGGGAACUGCGUUUGAAACUACAAGACUAGAAUAUGUCAGAGGGGGGUAGAAUUCCAUGUGUAGCAGUGAAAUGCGUAGAGAUGUGGAGGAAUACCAAUGGCGAAGGCAGCCCCCUGGGAUAAUAUUGACGCUCAUGCACGAAAGCGUGGGGAGCAAACAGGAUUAGAUACCCUUGUAGUC